rnacentral:rRNA from 1 species
CCUACGGGGGGCAGCAGUGAGGAAUAUUGGUCAAUGGACGAGAGUCUGAACCAGCCAAGUAGCGUGAAGGAUGACUGCACUAUGGGUUGUAAACUUCUUUUAUAUGGGAAUAAAACGUUCCACGUGUGGGAUUUUGUAUGUACCAUAUGAAUAAGGAUCGGCUAACUCCGUGCCAGCAGCCGCGGUAAUACGGAGGAUCCGAGCGUUAUCCGGAUUUAUUGGGUUUAAAGGGAGCGUAGGUGGGUUGUUAAGUCAGUUGUGAAAGUUUGCGGCUCAACCGUAAAAUUGCAGUUGAAACUGGCAGUCUUGAGUACAGUAGAGGUGGGCGGAAUUCGUGGUGUAGCGGUGAAAUGCUUAGAUAUCACGAAGAACUCCGAUUGCGAAGGCAGUUCACUGGACUGCAACUGACACUGAGGCUCGAAAGUGUGGGUAUCAAACAGGAUUAGAUACCCGUGUAGUC